rnacentral:lncRNA from 7 species
UUUCAAUAAAUUUACAUAGUGCCAUUCAGAACUCUGUAUGAUUAGCAAAACUCCACAUGAACCAGUUAUAUACAUCGCAAAUCUACAACAAGCAAACAAUCAUAUUCUUCUUACCUAGCACUGCCUACAGGUAUAUAUAUAUAUGUAUUGAUCCAUCCAAAUGGUCCAGUGCACCCUGCAGCUCUACACUACAGUCUACCUUUACUCCAUCAACAACUCAUGCACGACAGUUAUAUGUUUAUCAGAAUGUACAUGGCUAAUAUAGUAUUAAGC